rnacentral:lncRNA from 1 species
AAAGAUAAAAGGAUAUGUCCUCGAUCUUAUCUUUCUAUUCCCUUGGUUUCACUGAAUUGUACUUUUGUGUUCUUCUCUUUCUGCCUCAUCGUUGCAGCAGUUAGGUGAUGCAACUAUGGAGCUUUCUUUUCACAACGUUCAACGCUGUUUUUUGCUGCCAACUAAAUCAUUUAUUUUGCAGCUUAUCUUGCAAUACGCUUUCUUGCUCAGUCCUCUAGGAUGUGGAAAAACUAAUUUGAUGUUUCAUCUCUGUCAGACUAAAGCUUAUGUUGAUUCUAGCUACUUUUUGAAGAAGUUCUUGCCUCUACAAAUUCGGUUUUGAUGGAUGCAUCUUAUGAGAGGUGAAAGAAGCUCUGCUAAAAAAUAUGCUUUCAUUUAAAGCUGGUUUUGAAAUAAUUUAUGAGGUAUGGUUUAUAUGUGUUCAUGUUGUCUGCAAGGUCUACAAUAUGAGUUGCGUUGAAUGCCUUUUGUUUUGCUCUGGAUCAUUGGCUAGAUGUGUAUUUCGAAAAGUGCACUUUGACUGAGUUCGUCCUUCUCUCUCUUUUCUUCAAUGAAAUUCAAAGGUGCUGCGAGCUUACUCAGUUAGAUUUAUGAUAUUUUAUACUCAGUUAGCUUUCUAGAUGGAUUCGGUUGAUCCUUCUCUUAUUUAUUUUUCCCCUCUGAAUGUACAAGAUUGAAUCUAUUACCGGUUUUGUUUUUG